AGAGCUCAAAUUUAAAAUCUGGCGGUCUCAGACUGUCCGAGUUGUAAUCUAGAGAGGUGUUUUCCGUGCCGGACCGUGUAAAAGUCCCUUGGAACAGGGCGUCAUAGAGGGUGAGAAUCCCGUCCAUGACACGGACUCCCGGUGCUCUGUGAUACACCUUCAAAGAGUCGAGUUGUUUGGGAAUGCAGCUCAAAAUGGGUGGUAAAUUCCAUCUAAAGCUAAAUAUAGGCGAGAGACCGAUAGCGAA
rnacentral:rRNA from 1 species